UGCACAGUGGCCCGGUUGGUAGCACUUUUGCCUUGCCUGCAAGAAGGUCCUGGGUUCGAUUCCCGGCCGAGGGUCUUUCUGCAU